GAUGAAGAACGUAGCGAAAUGCGAUAAGUAGUGUGAAUUGCAGAAUUCAGUGAAUCAUCGAAUCUUUGAACGCACAUUGCGCCCUUUGGUAUUCCUUAGGGCAUGCCUGUUCGAGCGUCAUUUAAACCCUUCAAGCUCAGCUUGGUGUUGGGUGACUGUCCGCCGCCCCCGGGCGCGGACUCGCCCCAAAUUCAUUGGCGGCCGGUACGUAGGCUUCGAGCGCAGCAGAAACGCGAACUCGGGCCCGCGGUGUCGGCUCCCAGAAGCCAUCUCUUUUAUUUUGACCUCGUAUCAGGUAGGGAUACCCGCUGAACUUAAGCAUAUCAAUAAGCGGAGGA
rnacentral:misc_RNA from 1 species